AUCGAACGCUGGCGGCAGGCUUAACACAUGCAAGUCGAGCGGAGAUGAGGUGCUUGCUACCGGACCUAGCGGCGGACGGGUGAGUAAUGCUUAGGAAUCUGCCUAUUAGUGGGGGACAACAUCUCGAAAGGGAUGCUAAUACCGCAUACGUCCUACGGGAGAAAGCAGGGGAUCUUCUGACCUUGCGCUAAUAGAUGAGCAUAAGUCGGAUUAGCUAGUUGGUGGGGUAAAGGCCUACCAAGGCGACGAUCUGUAGCGGGUCUGAGAGGAUGAUCCGCCACACUGGGACUGAGACACGGCCCAGACUCCUACGGGAGGCAGCAGUGGGGAAUAUUGGACAAUGGGGGGAACCCUGAUCCAGCCAUGCCGCGUGUGUGAAGAAGGCCUUAUGGUUGUAAAGCACUUUAAGCGAGGAGGAGGCUCUUUUGGUUAAUACCCAAGAUGAGUGGACGUUACUCGCAGAAUAAGCACCGGCUAACUCUGUGCCAGCCGCCGCUGUAA
rnacentral:rRNA from 1 species